rnacentral:rRNA from 1 species
GAUCAUGGCUCAAGAUGAACGCUGGCGGCGUGCUUAACACAUGCAAGUCGAGCGAAGCACUCUGCUUUGAUUCUUUCGGGAUGAAGAGCAUUGUGACUGAGCGGCAGACGGGUGAGUAACGCGUGGGUAACCUGCCUCAUACAGGGGGAUAACAGUUAGAAAUGGCUGCUAAUACCGCAUAAGACCACAGCACCGCAUGGUGCAGGGGUAAAAACUCCGGUGGU